AUGAGCCGUGCUAUACAGACGACAAAUUCCAGACGAUUCAUGCACGACAUGAAAAUCCAGCCGUACAUGCAUGUCUACAUGGGAGCAACGGCCACAGGGAUUGGUAGUCGUCCUCACAUGGUCCAUCUUUUUCGUCUGUAUAGCCAUUUCGUACAUGAAUUGGACUCGAGACGAUCUCUCCCACCAUUGGCAGCUUUGGUUUUAGCGCCUUCACUCCCGUUAAUCCACUUUCAUCACAGACGUCUCCUCCCAUCAGUUUUACUAUUGAUUUUAUCAAAUUUUCUUUCAAAACUCUUCCCACGGUUUUUCCUGCACGUAGUGUUUUUAUGCCUUCCCUCUGUUGAAAAUAAUAACCCAAUGAUUAUUAAGGGAUAA
rnacentral:rRNA from 1 species